rnacentral:rRNA from 1 species
UCAGAUUGAACGCUGGCGGCAGGCCUAACACAUGCAAGUCGAGCGGAAACGACACUAACAAUCCUUCGGGUGCGUUAAUGGGCGUCGAGCGGCGGACGGGUGAGUAAUGCCUAGGAAAUUGCCUUGAUGUGGGGGAUAACCAUUGGAAACGAUGGCUAAUACCGCAUGAUGCCUACGGGCCAAAGAGGGGGACCUUCGGGCCUCUCGCGUCAAGAUAUGCCUAGGUGGGAUUAGCUAGUUGGUGAGGUAAUGGCUCACCAAGGCGACGAUCCCUAGCUGGUCUGAGAGGAUGGUCAGCCACACUGGAACUGAGACACGGUCCAGACUCCUACGGGAGGCAGCAGUGGGGAAUAUUGCACAAUGGGCGAAAGCCUGAUGCAGCCAUGCCGCGUGUAUGAAGAAGGCCUUCGGGUUGUAAAGUACUUUCAGUUGUGAGGAAGGGUGUGUAGUUAAUAGCUGCGCAUCUUGACGUUAGCAACAGAAGAAGCACCGGCUAACUCCGUGCCAGCAGCCGCGGUAAUACGGAGGGUGCGAGCGUUAAUCGGAAUUACUGGGCGUAAAGCGCAUGCAGGUG